UUUGAUAUUUGAUAAAUUUUGAAGUAGUAAAAUCAUAAUAACCCUAAAUUUAUUGAAAUUUUAGUGCGUAGAAGUUUGCUAAAAUGUUUGGGAGCAGCGAAAAUUAACCUCAAGGGCAAUAACCCUGUAUAUAUACAAGCCGAAGGCCUGUUGAAAGUUUCUUUUACAACUCCCAAAGCGAAGCUUUGAACACAUACCUCAUCAAAAUCAUGGACAGAGAGUGGGGUUCGAAGCCCGGCAGCGGUGGCGCCGCCUCCGCUCAGAAUGAGGCCAUCGACCGGCGAGAGAGGCUCCGGAGGUUGGCCUUGGAGACCAUCGAUUUAGCCAAAGAUCCUUAUUUCAUGCGGAACCACCUGGGCAGGUAAAUCGACAACAUCUUCGUUUGAUUGAUGUGAUUUGAUUUGAUUAAUUAAAUUAUUUAAUUAAGCUUGGGGUGGCUUUGCUGCUUCUUGUUGUUGUACUUGUUGUAGUUACGAGUGUAAGCUGUGUUUGACACUUCACAAUAACGAGGGAAACUACUUGGCACACACACAAGGGAAGCGCCAUCAGACCAAUUUGGCUAAGAGAGCUGCCCGCGAGGCCAAGGAUGCUCCUGCUCAGCCCCAGCCCCACAAGCGAAAAGUCAACGUUCGUAAAACAGGCUAGUUUUCUCUUCUAACACGCACUUAUGCAUGGUUUAUUUUUUAAUUUCAUGUCUGUGCGUACUGUUACAUAUUAAUAUAUUAGGGUUACACAUUACAUAAGUUUCAGCCAUUAGGAUGACAUCCUGGAUUACGAAUACAUUAUCCACAGUUUCAGCUAUUACUAUUAGGGCGACAUGCUGAGGGACACUGAAACGAUUUAUUUCUAAGCACUUAAUUUUUGGCCUAGAAUUAAAGGUUGGAGGGGUCCAAGGGUUACCCAAAGUAUUGUGCCUUGGUUUUUUGGGGGGGUACUGAGUGUUGUAUAUUUGACUUUGAUUUAAAAACUAAGAUAGGAUAGGUUUAUUGCUUAUCUCGAAUAAUGGCUUAUAUGAACUUGCAACAUUGAUACUUUGGUGUGUUUGGCAGCCAUUUUGUUUCAGUGUUGAUAUUGCUGAAAAUUUUUUGAGGCGUUGUUAUUGUAUAUCUCACUGAUGCUCCCACCCCUCCUCCCCCCCCGCCCACGAAAAAAAAACCUGGUCUAUUGUUUAUCGUAGAGUUUAAGAACGUGUUUCGUAAAAUCUCAACUGAUGAGUUUUUAUGUAUAUGUGUGGUGCGUAUGCAGUCAAAAUUGGUAGGCCUGGGUAUCGUGUGACAAAACAGUUUGAUCCUGAGACAAAGCAGAGGUCUCUUCUAUUCCAGGUAUAUAUAUAUAUAUAUAUUUUUUUUUUUUUAAUUUUUUGUUCAUGUUUUGUACUUGAAAUUCCAUUAUAUAGCAUCAUAUAUUAUGUAUCAAAAGUAAUGAUUUUCUUUCAAAUGCAGAUUGAAUAUCCUGAGAUAGAAGACCUAUCAAAGCCGAGGCACCGAUUUAUGUCAUCUUUUGAGCAGGUAUAUUCCAUAUUUGAGUUGAGUUUAAUACCAAACAGAUUUCUCAUGAUACCAGUGGUCAUUAUUAUUUCCUUUGUCGAUUUUAUCUCACCCCUUGUAGAUGAAUUGCAUGUUUUCUUCUCUGUAGUCAACCAUAUCCUAAUCUCUUCUUUUCAUGAUGCAGCGAGUUCAACCAUUUGAUAAGAGAUACCAGUAUCUUAUGUUUGCAGCAGAACCAUAUGAGAUCAUUGCUUUUAAGGUGACUUGACCAUAUUCAACAUAAUUCUUUUUACGGGAAUUAUGAUAUAUGGAUUAUAAAUUUAUCUUAUUAUUUUUUUAAUCAUGAAGGAUAAAAUUUAUAUUUUAUUAGUCAACUAACUAAUCAACUAAAGAGUCAACUAACGGUUGUAACGAAAAAGUAGUAAAAUGAUAUUUAUUGUAAUGAAAAAGUAGUAAAAUAAUAUUUUAUAAAAAUAUAAUAAGAAAAUGAUAAGAGACAAUACUUAUUAUAGUUAUUUGAUAUUUGAUAAAUUUUGAAGUAGUAAAAUCAUAAUAACCCUAAAUUUAUUGAAAUUUUAGUGCGUAGAAGUUUGCUAAAAUGUUUGGGAGCAGCGAAAAUUAACCUCAAGGGCAAUAACCCUGUAUAUAUACAAGCCGAAGGCCUGUUGAAAGUUUCUUUUACAACUCCCAAAGCGAAGCUUUGAACACAUACCUCAUCAAAAUCAUGGACAGAGAGUGGGGUUCGAAGCCCGGCAGCGGUGGCGCCGCCUCCGCUCAGAAUGAGGCCAUCGACCGGCGAGAGAGGCUCCGGAGGUUGGCCUUGGAGACCAUCGAUUUAGCCAAAGAUCCUUAUUUCAUGCGGAACCACCUGGGCAGGUAAAUCGACAACAUCUUCGUUUGAUUGAUGUGAUUUGAUUUGAUUAAUUAAAUUAUUUAAUUAAGCUUGGGGUGGCUUUGCUGCUUCUUGUUGUUGUACUUGUUGUAGUUACGAGUGUAAGCUGUGUUUGACACUUCACAAUAACGAGGGAAACUACUUGGCACACACACAAGGGAAGCGCCAUCAGACCAAUUUGGCUAAGAGAGCUGCCCGCGAGGCCAAGGAUGCUCCUGCUCAGCCCCAGCCCCACAAGCGAAAAGUCAACGUUCGUAAAACAGGCUAGUUUUCUCUUCUAACACGCACUUAUGCAUGGUUUAUUUUUUAAUUUCAUGUCUGUGCGUACUGUUACAUAUUAAUAUAUUAGGGUUACACAUUACAUAAGUUUCAGCCAUUAGGAUGACAUCCUGGAUUACGAAUACAUUAUCCACAGUUUCAGCUAUUACUAUUAGGGCGACAUGCUGAGGGACACUGAAACGAUUUAUUUCUAAGCACUUAAUUUUUGGCCUAGAAUUAAAGGUUGGAGGGGUCCAAGGGUUACCCAAAGUAUUGUGCCUUGGUUUUUUGGGGGGGUACUGAGUGUUGUAUAUUUGACUUUGAUUUAAAAACUAAGAUAGGAUAGGUUUAUUGCUUAUCUCGAAUAAUGGCUUAUAUGAACUUGCAACAUUGAUACUUUGGUGUGUUUGGCAGCCAUUUUGUUUCAGUGUUGAUAUUGCUGAAAAUUUUUUGAGGCGUUGUUAUUGUAUAUCUCACUGAUGCUCCCACCCCUCCUCCCCCCCCGCCCACGAAAAAAAAACCUGGUCUAUUGUUUAUCGUAGAGUUUAAGAACGUGUUUCGUAAAAUCUCAACUGAUGAGUUUUUAUGUAUAUGUGUGGUGCGUAUGCAGUCAAAAUUGGUAGGCCUGGGUAUCGUGUGACAAAACAGUUUGAUCCUGAGACAAAGCAGAGGUCUCUUCUAUUCCAGGUAUAUAUAUAUAUAUAUAUUUUUUUUUUUUUAAUUUUUUGUUCAUGUUUUGUACUUGAAAUUCCAUUAUAUAGCAUCAUAUAUUAUGUAUCAAAAGUAAUGAUUUUCUUUCAAAUGCAGAUUGAAUAUCCUGAGAUAGAAGACCUAUCAAAGCCGAGGCACCGAUUUAUGUCAUCUUUUGAGCAGGUAUAUUCCAUAUUUGAGUUGAGUUUAAUACCAAACAGAUUUCUCAUGAUACCAGUGGUCAUUAUUAUUUCCUUUGUCGAUUUUAUCUCACCCCUUGUAGAUGAAUUGCAUGUUUUCUUCUCUGUAGUCAACCAUAUCCUAAUCUCUUCUUUUCAUGAUGCAGCGAGUUCAACCAUUUGAUAAGAGAUACCAGUAUCUUAUGUUUGCAGCAGAACCAUAUGAGAUCAUUGCUUUUAAGGUGACUUGACCAUAUUAUAUAUUUGUUGAUUUUCAUUUUACCAUUAAUCAUUACUGGAGAUAGUUAUGAUUAUUGAUUUCCGUUUAUGUUUCAGGUUCCCAGCACAGAGAUUGACAAAUCUACACCCAAGUUCUUUUCCCAUUGGGAUCCAGACUCAAAGAUGUUCACGGUUAGUCUGUUUAUACUUGCCCUUUCUCUUUCCACCCUCUUUCCAUUUUCUAGCACUCGGUCCAUUUAGAUGGAUUAGUCGGUAAAUGUGGUUGUUUAUCGGCUGUUUUAAAUGUUGUCGGAAGUUGCCCAUAAAUCCAAAACUCUGGACCACCUCUGUGACUUAUUUGGUUCAGCUAUUGGAUCGGCUCUUGGUUUUUACUUCUAAUGUAGGUUAUACCUGCUAUUUACUUACAUAUGAUAUGUCUCGAUGCCUCUAUUAAAGAUGAGACAUUAAUCUUUGUUCAUUGUUGUUUUGUUUGGCACUUUUCCCUUUUUGUGGGAGUUUUCUGCGACUAAUAAUUUUUGUGUUUGUUUGAGAUGUGCAGCUGCAGCUAUAUUUCAAAUCCAAACCAGUGGAGGGGAACAAACCUCAAGCUGCCCCUGCAGCCAACGGUGCAGUAGCUCCACCACCGCCACCUCCACCACAGGGGCCACCACCAGGUGUGUCUGCAGGAAAUGCUCCUAGAGCCCCACCCCCGCCAAUGACUGGAACAUUACCGCCUCCCCCACCUCCAAUGGCAAAUGGUCCUAGGCCUAUGCCUCCUGGUGGAGCUCCACCUGCUCCUCCUCCGCCUCCAGGUGGUAGUGGUACAAUGGCCAAUUUCACUCCUGGUACUCAGGUGGGUAGGCCUCCGACAAUGCCUCCUCCUCCUCCACAAGGUUAUGGGGGCCAACAGAUGCCGAUUCGUCCACCCCCACCACCUCCUAAUAUGGGACAAUAAUUGACCAUACCGUAGCACAUCUUCAUGUGGUUGUCCUGCGACCAGUCCUGUUCCCGUUUUGAUCCAUGUUGCUUAAUCUCAGGAUAUAUUUGGUUGUCAAAUUGAUAUGUAGUGAAAUGGAAAGCUGGAUCUCUUAGAAAAUUAGGUAGCUUGAAAGUACUCUUGUAAUUUUGAUUUGUAUGCUAUUUAAUGAUACUGUUCUUUUGAAAGAGAGAGAGAGAGAGAGGGUUUAAAAAAAAAAAACAGAAAGAAAAACAUUAUCCUUGUUGGUUCAGAGUUAUGGUAUCAAAUGCAAAACUUAAUUUGGCUUCGCAACCGCAUUUUGUAAACACAGGUAUCUCUUGAAAUGUGGGAAUUGUCCCUUGCCAAAUGUUCAACUGAGGCUAUUGGCUUAUUGUGAAUAAUAAUAAUACAUGAUAACAUGACAUACAGUUCAGUUAGAACUAUAAAUAAACAGAAGCUUCUAUUUUACCAGCCAUUGAAUUUGAAUGCAACGUUUAGUCUGCAUGCUUCGGUUUUCCUUACCGUAAGAAGAAAUACCUGGGCUCGCUUUAAUGCGUCCGGGCUUUUGAGACUUCAUGUUGAUAAUCAAAUUAAAUUCGCAAAUCAUAAUCUAAAUAGCACGUGGAAUAAAAGAAGAAAGCUGCGCACGUUCCAAUUACCAGAAAAUGGAACAAAUUGUUGGGAAGACAACACUAAGCUCUCUGAUGGCUCCUAGAAGCCACUUCUUCACAACACCUAACAACCCAAGAUAACUAUUAUCACUCUGAUUAUCAUCACUUAACGGAUGUGAUGGCUCACAUUAACAAAUCACUCAUAUCAGCAAAGUACCCAAAAAUUUUUAACUUGUAACAGGGAACACCUUCUCAAUAAAUUCCAGGAAGCGAUGUGAGUAGAAUGUAGGGUCCACCGCAGAGAUGGAUAUCGAAUCAAAUUGAAGAGAUUUGUAUGCGUGUUCAAUCUUCUUGGACAUGUUGUACUCUUGCAAUAUAUCAAUUAUGCCCAGGUAGAGAACAACAUCGUAAGAUUGAUGGAAUAGAUCUUCCUGCUUCCCAGGGAUUUGCUCCGCCCUUGCUGGCAUAUUCACACCAAGCUGAAUCUGUAGUCUGCUUCACAAGUAACAAUUGUAGAAUAUUAAACACAAAACUAAAACAUGAAAUUUUAGUUGAUGUCUUAAUCGCUGUACAAGUAUGCACUACAUCUAGGGAGGAUAGAGAGCUCAAGCUUAGCAUGUAAAACUACAAAGGCAGACAACUAGUUCUUUUGUUUUCUUUUCCUUUGUAUUUUAUCUAUUAAAUUAUAAAAAGAAAACAUGCUGAAUUUUCUCAUUUCUGAAGCCAACCGCACAGUCUGUCAAUGCAUUCAAUCUGGCAGGGUGCAAAAAUCUGCUUAGGCAACUCAUAAGAGAUGAAUUAAUGGUCUUUUAACAUUGCAAAGAUUUUAAUGGGCUUCUACGGUGGUAUAAUUGAAGAAACCAUUGGGGUGCAAAGAUAUCGUACCUUGCUGUGCCAGGGAGAAGGAGAUCAACUUCCUCAUCACCAGCAGAUGAUGCUCGCAGUCGGCUACCUCUAAUGUGUGGGCCUGCAAUGACACUACUAUCAUCUGUUCCUCGAGGGACCAAAACAAGGCCUUGGUAGUUGGAGAUUUCAUCCUCUAGAGAGUUCGAGAUUUAAGCACCACCAAAAUUGUGUAUCAGUUUUUUAUAUCCUAGUAGACCAUACAACCAUGAAACCUAUACUAGCAAGAAUUUCUAACUCAGAUUAGACUGAACUUGAUGCAUCUGGGUUAUAAACCAUGCAAAAUAUAUAGUUCUGUUUCUGACCCAUUGAACCACAAUGCAGUCAAGAAGCCAAGAGACUCAAUUCAGUAUAUGCAAGAAGUAAAAGGAAUAAUUUCUGUUUCUAACUUGAAUCAUACAAUUAAUUCACUGCUUCAAAUAUGUCCUUAAUGAGAAUUUGACGAUUGCUACCUUGGCUAAAUUAGAGGCACAACUACUGUUAAUUUUUUUCUCGUGAGUACUACCUAAACAUUUCAUCUUGACAUGCACUUUCACUACGCUUGGUAUGUUCCUAACCAUGAAAGGACAAUCAAAUUAUUCAUCUCUCGAAUUUUAAGUCGAGCAGAUUUGGCAGGCUCAACUCCCAACUUCAGACUAAAGAUAACGCUUACCUUCCUCAGCAACAAUUCCCAAUCCAUCUUCCCGUAUAGUCGUGAGUGAUCGCAGGUGCUGUGGAGCUCGAUAAUGAACACCCAGCAAAAGGCUGUAAUCCAUAAUCUGCUGAGCUUCCAAAAAUUUGCUGUCAAUCUCUAUCUGCCUGCAUAAUGAUACAAACAUUAAAAAGUAUAAGACUAAAACAUGGCAAUACAAAUGAGAAUAAGUGCAUCAAAUAAGAAAGAAAUUAUUUCAAGUACAGCUUAAAGCAGUAAACAAAGUAAAGUUAAUUCAACUGUCUGAUAUUUGGAAGGUCAGCCAUCUUAAGUUCUUGCAAAUGAAAAUUACGCUGCCAUUUUCCCAUUAGUUAUUUCCCUAUAUUUAUAAAAUAAACAACUGGUAAACCUACCAUUGGUCAAUUUGAAACUGUAACAGAGUGACAGAACAACACCGGAGCAUUACUUACUUUAAUAAAUCUUCUCGCCAAGAAGGUUCUAAAUAAAAGCAGUAGUUUAGAUCUAAAUCUUUAAGUGUUGUGUUCUCAUCAAUUUCAAUGUUGUCCGUAGAUCGCCCUAGUGAUGACCCCUUCAAAUCAAACCUUCGAUGGAUCCUUAGUUCCGUGCAGAACAUAUUUCCCAUCACCACGAAGCGAAACUGCAAUUUAAGGGAUUAGUUUAUAGCUAUCAAUUUCUUAUGAAAAAGAGAAAAAAAAAAAAGUCAAAGUUCAUGAUAGCAAGCUCCUUUUGUGAUAGUAAUGAGGUAAUCAAGGGAAAAUACUCAAGGUAACAUCAUAUCAUAGUAGAAAAUAGUUAUACACAUCAAGGCAAACAAAAAAAGUGAUCGGUACAAAGAAAGCAGUAAUAAACCAUGUGCAUCACCUUUUGACCACUUGAAGGUUUGAUUCUGUGAAGACCAAAAAAUUUUGUUAUGAGUGUGUUUUCAUACGAUCUCACAUGAUCAUGGUAAGUUGGAAGCAUUUGUAGAAGAACCUACAUAAUAGAACUUUGGUUAAUUGAAUCAUCAAAAGGGCAGAAAAAGGGAAAAAAAUAUUCCGAAAAAUAUAGAACUGAAACAUGUAAGGAAAAUGUGGUAUGUUCUAAGAAUUAAAGUUUAACAAUUAGAGAUAUGUUCAAGUUGCAAUUCAAGCUAUUUCUCUAUUUCUCUAUUUCCAUAUACUAAAGAAAACUAUCAUCACAUUAAGCAGUUCCUUUGUUCAACAUAUACUAAUGAUAGCACUUCAGGGCCUUAUAUCACAGUUGACCAUUAUUCUGCGAAGAGGUUACCAUUCCAUUUCAAAAAGAGAAGCAAAUUCUUGAAUGUACAAAGGAGUGCUAAACAAGUAGUUGGCAUUAGUAAUUUUUUUUUUAAUAAGAAACUAUAAAUUAUAUUAACGAUGAAGAAUCAUUACAAGGAGAAGAUGAGCUGUCCGAUUGACGAAGUAAAAAAUAAAAACUAUUCUGUGCUAUACAAAAUAUACCAAUCAACCCUCUACAAUACUAGACUGGCCUAGACACCUAUCUCAAAGUACUCUCCCAACUUAGAUGAAUGAAGAAAAAAGAUGAAACUUGGAACCUCUUAGAAACAAAAGACCAAAGCGAAGCUAGAAGACGGACUCUAUCCCACGAUUCUUCAAUAUUUUGUACUUUUUCCCUUAAAAAAUAAGAAGAUUUCUUUUCUGCCAUAUUACCCAAAAGAGGGCUGCCAGAGCACAGAUCCAAAGAGUUUUUGCCUUUUCUCCUUUACCAAAAGAAUAAGAAUUCUCCAUAAGAAUAGAGUGACAAGAACCCCGAAAGACCCACAAAACGUAAGCCUCUUUGCGCAACCUAUUCCACAACUUUGAGGCCACAAAACAAUGAAGAAAAAGAUGAUUAGAAGUUUCUGCGCACUUGUUUUGCACAUCACACACCAAGACAGAGAUAGACAACUAUUAGGGAACUUUCUUUGAAUCACUUCCCCAAAAUUUAAUUUUUCUUGUAGCAAGGACCCAUAAAAAGACUUGAAUUUUAGUAGGAAUACUAGCCUUCCAGAUCGUUUUUGGAGGGUAAAAAAAUCAGCCAAGGAGACAUCAUUAAUCAGCCAGUUAAGAUAAGAUUUGCAAGAAUAAUGUCCUGAUGUCUCCAAACUCCACAAUCUUUUGUGUUCUUUCAUUUUAUCGAUGUCGAUAUCGUUGAACAAUUCCAAGAGAGUAGCAUAAUCCUGGAUCUCUCUAUCAUUCAAGUUUCUUUCGAAGUUGAAAUUCCAAUGCAAAUUCGACGAAGAGGAAGAUGGACAAAAAUUUAUAGAAGCAUUUCGUAUAGGACAGAGCUUACAGAGGCAAGGGAAGCAAUCACACAAAGUGAGAAAGAAAAGAGGGAUGUUCAUUUGAGAUUGCUUUCCAAGGGCUUCUAAAGACUUCCAUUGUUAACCACAUUAGAGUCCCAACCAUUUGAGCGGAGGCCAUAUUUACUUCUAAUCACCAAAGUAAAGUGAAAAAGGCAAGAAUUGGAAGGCAAUAAAAGUUCAGAGAUGUUGCAUCAAUAUCAAAACUGAAUGGAAUCAGCCAUAUUGUGUAAACUCUAUUGAUCCCACUACCAUUAAAGGCAGCGAUAUCUCCAGCCUAUAGCUGGAUCCUCCAAUAUCAGGCUAAAAUGCUGAAUGGGAGGGAAUGCCCAAAAUCCUCUUAACAUGACCCCACCUCUAGUUACUGAGAUAGAGCAAGCCAAUGGCCUUGAUUCUGAGCAAAUCAAGGUAAUAGAACAUAUUAUUUCACCAAUCAGUGAUGCCAGAAGUCUAUUAAUUGGAAGAAGAAGAGAAUUUCACUCAACCAUCCACUUUGUUACUUCUGCAAAUUUGGAAGUAAAUCCUAUUUUCCUACAGAAGCACAAGAUCAAAGUAAUUAUAAAAGGUCAAAAAUGUCUUCUAGUUUUGGAACUUUACGGCAAUAUUCCUCCCAUUCAAGCUUCAAAACGUAAAACAAACAAUAGGCAGAAAGAAUGAAAAAGGAUAAAAGUUUGAAAGGUUCUAAAUGCAAUAACUACAGCAGAUGUCAAGGUACAAAUUGAGAUGGCAAACCUUCACUUCAGAUUUUCGAAGUGUCUUAAUCAUGAAACGGUCAUCUUGCGAUAAGAAAAAGAUACUACCGCUUUUCCCAGGGGAAGAAAGUUCCCUGAGAGCAUCAUUCCCACAUAUGGACAUCAUGUAGUCAGCAGCAUCAAUCUUGAACAUCUCCCUUAAAUUCCUGUAAUGAGUUUUAAGAACAAAAGGUAUAAAAACAUGGAGAAAAAGGUAAACCAAGAUCCAGAAAUGAAUAUACAAUGCAUAGUUUCGAAGUUAAAGCAGAGAAUUACAAACCAAUUGUUUAGUCAAAUAGCAUUUUUCUUUUCUUCUAAACUCUACAGAUUAGUCCCUGCAUGCUAGGUUCCCAACAACAGCAUCUUCUAUGGCAUGGCAAGAGAAAUAAAUUCAAAAAAUCAGUGCUGAAUGUGUGCUCCCCUCUCUCAUACACUAAGAUAUGUGCAAAUAACAUUUGACUACAUACUGAGUAAUCAUGGCUUUGAAGAUUACAGACAGUUUAACCACCAAUAAUGCCACAACGGUACUCCACUGCUCUAAAGUGAUCACAUAACAUAGGUUUGAUCCAAAAAAGUUCAAGAGCAAGCUAUUUCCUGAAAAGAUAUGCUUUGUGUGCUAUAAAUAAAUUUAACCAGAAACACUGAAAAACAAAUUAAGCUCGGAACAAGAAUGCCAAACAAACCCAUUGAAUGAAAUAUAUGGGAAGGAAAUGAAAGAAUAUUAUCUACAAACCUGAAAACCAUGGGGCAAUAAUCUUUCCACUUAAAAUCCUCUGACUGAUGAGGUGGUGUAAGUUGAGACCCUUCUUUUGGAAAAUUCAUCCAAAAGCUAGCCCGGGGACCAAAGUCUGAUGCCCGAACAUCUCGCCUCUGUACAGGUGUAAUUUUCCCAACUGUAUAUCUGAUUACAUUCUAAGCAUGUUAUAACUUUGCUUUUUCUGGAAACAAUGGAAUGAAACAUAUAUAACAGAUACAACAUUUAAACUACUUCUACCAAGUAAAUGGAGGACUUUUCACAAGUUACAUGCAAGGAACACCAAAAUAUAUAAGUUAUGCAAGCAAAUUGUUCAACUAAUGGCUGAAAAGGUUCAGAUGCAUACAUGCUAAAUAUAUACUACCUAUCAUUUCUCCAGAAAAGAAUCUGACUACAAUGUUACUAAAGGGAAAAGCAGAGAGCAUCAAACCUUGCAAAGGAUCUAAUUACAAAGAAUGCAUAAAGUUAUAAUGAAUCACCCAAUGAACUUGCAUAAAAUCCUUAUUUUUUUAUUAAAUUCUUUUUUUUUGGGGGGGUAUCCUCUUGUAAAGACAAGUUUUCUGAAUGUGAAACAUGAAGCAGUCUAAAUAGAGAACAUGAUACUGACUGACUAAAUUGUACCUGAUUCCAAGCUGUAAACUAAGCAUUAAAUCAUAACUCCUGUGACCUUUGAUGAUUGUUUCACCAGGCCUCUUAACCUCUUUCACUAGUUUCCUUUGUCGCCGUUUUUCUCUUCUAGAGGAUUGUGAAAAACUGUUAUUUAACACAAACUCACUGAUUAAAACACCUUGAAUAUAUUCACGUUCCAAGAUUGGUGCAACAUUUUUGUCACUUGCUUUCUCCAUGCCUUCUGAGAUUGAUUCAGAUAACUCUAAUGAUGAAUCAUGUCCAAUAACUUUUUCAAAAGAUACCUCAAGGCUCCAACGCCUUUCCAGGGACACAUUUCCUCUAUGUGACUGCUCCAAAUUUAUUAAGUUCCCCUUGGAGAUUUUAUCAGCAGAAAUUCGUCGAGAUCCUCGGUUCCCAGGAACCUUUGCAUUUGCCAUUUCCACCGAAGAAGCAUGAUGGGCAUGUGCAUGGGUUUGCCUUCUCAUAUCUGGUAGUAGCCCUCUAAUUCUGAGAGCAUUAAGGUAUGGCUCUUGUAAUACUGAAAGCUGAAUUCCAUUUGGAUAAAAUGUUCCUUUUCCAUCCUUCAAACCCCUUGACCAAGUUCCAACAUAGGAACCACCAUCACUCCAUGUGUAGACACCAAAUCCAUGCAUCAUACCGUUUAACCAGCUUCCUUCAAACGAGUCCCCAUUAGUCCAAGUAAGAGUUCCUUUACCUGACAUUUUCCCUCCUUUCAUAUUUCCCAAAUAAACAUCUCUAUUGGCCCAAGUAUAUUUACCUGGACCUUCUGCAGCUCCUUGGAUCCAAGAGCCUUCAAAAACAUCUCCGUUAGGGUAAACUUGAUAGCCUAACCCAUGUUUGAGAUUCAAGCGCCAUCUUCCCUUAUAGGUCAACCCAUCAGAGCCAAUAUAAGUUCCCGUACCAUGGAUAUAACCACCAGAAAAUUCACCCUCAUAAACAGUCCCAGAAGGCCAUCGAAUUUUUCCAUUGCCAUGCCUCAUCCCACGUCUCCACUCACCUUCAUAUAUGCAACCAUCGGACCAGAUAUAUUUGCCCAGACCCUCCGGUAGGUUGCCAAGCAAUGACCCAGAAUAAGAUUCCCCAUUGGGAAGUGCAAGCUCCCCAACUCGAAAGCCAGAGGUUUCAGAAGAAGUAUGGACAGCUUCACCAUUGUUUAAUGCAUAUACGCGGUCUCUGUCAGAGAUGGCAUCCAGAGAUGUCGUUCUCUCUGCACAAGAAAGUGCUCUUUCGACGUCACCAACAAUGGCCACAGGGCCAGACAUGCAUAAUGCCAAUAAGGUUACAGUUCUUACAAGAUUACAAGUCACUAUAUUAUGACAGUUUGAGAUGUCAAAGAAAGAGCUUACUAUGAAAUUGUGAUGGUACCUUUAAAAAUUCCCACCCUUCAACCUAUGAAAAGAAAAGAAGACAUGGACUUAUCAACAGUGGCAAAAUAAUGAACUCUGCUUCUUGAUCACAAAUUCAUAAUCACGGAAAAGAUCAGUGUUAAAAGAAGGACACACAAAAACCACUUACAACCAGAAUAUGGUCGUUCAGAUGUAAAAAUAUUAACGAGAGUCAAUGAAGAGGCAAAAGCAGGGGGUGUUUCGUUCUAGAACAAUGCCAUUUUCAAGUUGUCAUUACCUUUACAAAUAGAAAUUAAUAAAAUCCAUUAAAAUAUUCCGUCUUUAAAUUUAUUUAGCUUCUCCAAUAACAAUGCACAGAACUUAUUCGCGCUAUUUAAAAACAGCCAUACUUUUUCAGACAAUAAUAAAAAUAAUAACUGAAUAGAUAGAUCGUUAGGGGGAAAACAAAAAGAGCAUCUAAUUUAAGGAAGUAAAAGAAAAAGCAAUUCAAUUUAAACAGAUAAACAAUGAAAAACAAAAAUUGAAGAUAAAAGUUAAAUAAUGAAUUUAAUUUGAAGCAAGUAAGACCGUACCUUUCAAAAGAAACUAACAAGUUGCAGAAGGUGAAGUGUGGUAGUUAAAGACUUGAGAGGAGGAGCUGACUAUUUUUUACUAUUACCGAUGCGGAUGCCGACGCGGAUGCCCACUCUUUCCUUAAAAAAAUUUAAAAAAAAAAGAUCUUUUAUUUUAUUUUUUUAUUUUUUAUUUAUUUUUUUUGGUCAUUUUUGUCUCGACGGUGAUGGUGAAAACGACUUUUUGUAUUGAAUACCAAGCACAUAGAAAAGUACUUAACCUUUUAGUCACAUAACAAGUCUUCUGACUGCUGUAAAGAUGAAGCUAAAAGAAAAAUUAUAAAAAGUAAUUAUUAUCACUUUUUGGUUCAUUCAUUCAUCAUACAUUCAUUUGUACAUAUUAAUUGUUAAAAAAACUGCUUCUAAUUUGUCAUUAUUAAUAAAUUAAAUAUUAUAAAUUAUUAGAUAUUUACUGUACUCGUUUAAUACGGUAAUAAUUGCUAAAUGAUUGUGUUAAUGAGCACAGGACCCGGAUUAGCAAGACAGUGACUUUGCCAUGCUAACUUCUUUUGGAAAUUUAAUAAGUUCCCGUUUGAUUUAUUUAUUUAUUAUUCAUCUAGUAGUGACUUUAUGUGAAGAUGUUAAUUGAUUUUUUUAUGGUAAUGAUUUUUAAAUAACAAUGCGAUAAAUACGUCGCUCGCGGAUCCUCUGUUUCUUACGUACGUAAAGUUAGACUUAGCAUGAUUGUGCUUUGAUUGUGAUGUGUGGGAUCGCGCCCAGCUCUAUCACGGAAACUGCCGAAAAUACUUAUACUAAUAUAUAUAUACACACACAUAUACAUAAAUAUACAUCUACAUGUAUAUUCAUUUUUAAAUGCGGACAUUUUUUCUUUUUAAUACAAACAUCUUUUUAAACAAUUUAAGAGAGUUAAUUUAAUAGUGUGCCCGUAUAAAAAAAAUUAUGACACAUGCAUUAGAGAAAGACUCUAUAUAUAUAUGUGUGUGUGUGUGUUUUUUUUUUAAUUAGGAUCCCUAACCAUAUUAAAGUUAGGGAAAAAGUAAAAUACAAAAAAAAAAACAUAGAUCUCAAUAUAUUAGAGGACAAAUACAUUGCAGUAGAAUCUAUUUCUUUUUUCUUUUUUAGUCUUUUAGCUUAUCUUUUUGGAAAGCACAAGUUAGAUAAGAUAUAAAUUCCUUAUUUAAGAAGUAAGAUAUCAAUUAUAAAAGAUGCAAAUACUUUUUAUAAACUUCCAAAGUAAAAUUGAAAUAAAAAAUAAAAUUAUAAUAAGAUAAAUUUUUUGAAUUAAAAAAGGCAUAAAUUCUUAGUUUAUAAAUUCCAACGUAAAGGUGAAUUAAAAAUAUAAAAUUGUAAUAAAAUAAUUUUUUUCAUUACAUUACAAUUAGAAGUUUAUUAAAACUUUCUAAAUUAAUUUUAUGAUGAUCUAAAUAUCUAAAUUUAGAUUGGACUUAUUCUACUUGUAAAUAUUUAUAAGAAUUUAAAUUAUCGAACUCAAGAAUAAGGUGGAAAGAUGUCUCAUUUUUCAACAAAUUUUAUUUUUCAAUGUUUUAGUACAUUUUAUGCAUAGGAGUGGGUCCUUAAAUUUAAUAGUAAAUUAGCUAGUGAUAAUCAUGACAAUUUAAUUGUUAUCAUUUGAAAAUACGAUUAAUAUUAAUGUUAUUAUAUUUCUAAAGUUGUUCAGCUUUUUAAAAUGUGAAUGGCUUUUUAUCGUCUUUUAUAUUUUGUAGAUAAGCGUGAAAAGAUAUAUUAAAGUAGAGGUUUGUACUUGUUAGGUUUGGCGGUUGUAAUAUUGUUUAGAGGGGCAUGACUAGAAAGUUCAUGUCAUUUUCAUGUUUAAUAAUAUAAUCAUUUGUGGCUUAUAUCUCUAAGCUCACAUAUUAAAGAUAUUUUAAUAUUAACAAAUUAAAUAAAUAUUGACUAUAAUUGUUGCAUUAUAUAAGACAUUUUUCUCAAUAGGAUUUUUUUUCUAUUAAUUUGUUGCUUGACAGUGAGAUCUGAUAAAGCUAUCACAUAAUUUGUCUGUUAUUAUUUGUCAAGAAUAAUGAUAGACAUUUCAAAUUUUUUUUCCAAAUAAUUUGGCGCUUAAUAAUUCUAUACGAGAUUUAAGUGAAUUAAUUGUAUUUUCUUAUCAAUCAAUCGAUGAUUUCAUAACAUCUGAGAUAAGUUUUUAUGAUAAAAAAUUUAUGGUGUAUAAUACUACUCAUUUGUAAAAUAUAAUUUUAACAUAGGGUUCUGAUACAGAGGGCAAGGAGAGCGACAUCCCACCUAUUAAAUUCUCAAGAAGGAAUCAAUUAUGUUGAAAUAUCAUUUGAAGCGUCACAUCAACAAAGAGAGUUCUAAAAAACUUCUCAAAUGAGAUUUUUCAAAUAAGAUAUUCUUUUCUCUCUUUAAUAUUAAAGAGAGAGAAACACUUUUUCAUUUGAAAAAAAUUAUUUUUUGAGAGUUUUUUAGAGUCUUUAAUUUAGUAUUAAAUUAUUUUUUUAUCUCAUUAUUCUUGAAAAGAGAGAAGUGUUAUAAUUGCUAUUAUUUUGGUGGAGGAAAAAGUUUGAUUAAAUUAUUAUAAAUUUAUUUUUAUUUGAAGAGUUUUUUGGGAGAAAACUUAUUUUUUUCACUCUUUUAUUUAUCACAUAAACAAGUGUUUAAAGAGUAAAAUUCAAAGAGUCUUUUGAUGAUACUCUAACAUGUAAGCCAUCACUCUCCAAUUAAAUCAACUCCUUAAACAUAAUCAUUAUACUACUUGAUUCAAGUGGUAAGAUUCUUUUAAAACUAUGGGCUAUCACCUCAAAUUUUUUUUUUUAAAGAUGAUAUCAAAAAAGACCUUAUUUUCUUUGAAUUUAUAAAAAUAUCUCAUAUGAGUUUUGACAUAGAGCGGAAGCGAUACUAGUUGUUGUUCUAGCAUACGUUCUUGAUACUUAAGAAACAAUAACUCUCAACAAGAGAAAACAUUGAAUUAAUGAUAAAGAUAAACCCAAAGGGAAUAAUAUGAAGUAUUAUUAAUAAAAAAUUUAUAUUUUACGAUAAACAAUGAAUAACAAGCCUAAAUAUACUAAUAGAUUGUUUAAUUCUAAUCCUUCUCAUAAGAGAAAUAAUCUAAAAUAUUAAUUAGACUAAAAUUAUAAAUAUGACUCAAAUAGGCUUAUUAAAAUAAGAUAAAUCCUAAUAAAGUACUAAAUAAUAAAUUAAUUGUAAAUUUAGAAUUCCUAAUUUAUUCUAUCAUGUUUGCUUCCUAUAUUAAUCUCCUUCUCUUUGUAAAAAGCUUGUCCUUGAGUUUUGCUAAAAAUAAAGGACAAUUUGGAGAAUGAAACUUGUAGUGAAGGAGUAAAUAAUCUUGUAAUUUGAACACAUAGUGCUUUGCAUCAACUUUUAUUGAAACUCAAAAUGCUCCACAUUUCAUAUUUUUUUCUUAAUCUUGUUAGUCGCCCUAUAAAAGGUUAAAGUCUUGUACAAACGAAUAACUUCCAAGUCUCUCAAGUCUUUUGCCAAAUCUCGCUCAAUGUUCUGGCCAUUUAACUUUAUCUUGGUAACCAUAUCUUCUUCAAAAAUAACUUUCUUGUCUCUGCUAUGAAUGAUCUCUGCAUGAUCUUUUUUAAGCAUAUGCUUUUGUCAUCAACUUGAUUUGAUGAACUCAUAUCAAUCAUAUUACCCAUUAUAAUGAUCGAUGCCUCUUUAACUUGAGUUUCUUGAACUUAAUUGUACCACUCAACUUAGUGCUCAAAUUAGGAUAAGAAAUUACCUCAUCUUGUGUAAUUUUAGGCUCGCGUUCAAUUAUUUUAUGAUUCUCAUAAGCAUAUCUUUGUCUAAGUUAACAUUCUAAUAAUGAUUGUUAGAGUGCAAUUUAUGCACUAGUUUUGCAUUGUUUACUUCCCUUAAUAUCGAUGUUUUGCACUUAAUAAUAGUGAUUUACUUGUGUUUUACUUUUGUAGGUGCAAUUCUAUUGAUUGGUGAUAAAAUUGAGCUACAAGAUGAUGUUUAAGGAUGAUUGUUCUAUUGGAGAAAUUAUGAGCGUCAGAAGAACUUUGUUGAUAAGGCGUGGGCGCGUGCUGUCAACUGCAAACCUGCAGUUUUUAGUUUAACGUAUUUUGUAUUUUUGGUUAUUUUUGUAAUUACGAAUUUAAUAUUUCAGAUAUUAGUAUUUUAUUUUAAAUAGAAUUCUAGAGGAGAAGAGAGAGAGAGUAUUUAAGGGAGGAAUCUAUUGUGAAAAAGGGGGGAUUUGGAUUGGAGAAAAACAAAGAAACCCUAGAUCUUAAUUUUUCUCUUCUCUCUAUGAAGAACUAAACCUAUUUUUCUGGUUGAAGGAUAAUGAAACUUUGAUUCAUCACUACUGUGAGAUCUUUCUUAUGCUUUAAUUGUUUUAUUGCUUUUUGGGUAUUUGUUUAUUCUCUGAAUUAGUUUCAUGAUUAUGUUUGUUAAUUAGGUAAUUGGCCACUAUUUAAUUAUCAACUUAAUCUAUUGUCAAUUAAAGGAUUCAUCGUAUGAAGAAUUUAAUGUUUGUGACAAAUAACAUAGCAGAGAGUUGUGUUGUGAGAAUAAACAAUCUAAUUUAAAUGAAUAAUCAUAUGUGUUGAUUAGGAUUUGGGUCUCUCUGGUUUCUCAGGCUGUCAAUUGAUUAAAUCCUAUGAUCGUAUCUAGGGUUAUCUAUUGAUUAGGGAAAUAACCAACGGUCGUACCUUGGUUAUCGACUAGUUAAGGAGAGAUUGGCUAUUAGAGGGUCUCAAUAGCUAUAACCGGUCUAUUAAUAAGUAAUAAUAAUCUAUAUUUGAAUCAAUGAUCAGUAGUCGAAUCAAGCUGAGUUAAUUCCUUCAACCAGAGCUUUCUCCAAUUUGAAUUACAACUUUAAUUUGCAUUCUUGUUUAUUUCAAUUUGAUUUUUAUUAUUGUCAACAAUUCCCCCAUUUUACGUUUUACGUUUCAAAAGGAUUUAAAUAAUUACCGAUCUCUGUGGACACGACCCUGCUCAAUCACUAUACACAAUUUAUUUAGAGUAGGAAUUUAUUUUUGUUGGCUUCGACACCCAUCAAUGAUUCUUCAGAUUCUUCCGUUAAACUCUCCAAUGCCUCAAUCAAAUGUUGCACCAAUCGCAAUGCCUUCAUUGAAACUUACAAUGCCUUUGAUGAUCCUUCAAGAUUCUUUAUUGUAUGAGCUUCAAAACUUUCCCUAGAAACCAUUUUUUUUUAAUUGUCUCUUCUUUUUUGGUUUUUUAUAAUAACAGAAAAUUAUAGGAAAAUAUUAUGAUUAAAAGAAAACAUAAGGUCAAAAUUGCAAAUAAGUAAAAGAUGGUGUUGUCGGCGAUGUUAAUCAAAAAGAGGACGAGGAAGGGUGGAUCUCGAAUAGUUGAGAUCAAUCAAUAUGAUAGUGGUGGUGGUUUGACUUGGAUCGUAAUUGUUUGAUUGGAAAAUUAAAGUAAGGUGGCAGUUAGAGGUUUGGUUUAGGUUUUCGGUGAACGGAGUAGCAACUAGAAGUUGGUCUGGUUUGGAAAGAGAGAGUUGAUAAUGAGGAAUAAUUUGGUAGUGGCAAAGGUCGAUGAAUUACAGCGGAGGGCAGCAAAUCGAGUGACGGUGUUAGUGGUAGUUUAGUAGCUGGUUGGGUGGCAUUAGGUUGGUUACACCGUCGAAUCGGUGGUAUUGAUGGCUAGGGUAUGGUUGGCAGUGUGUGAGUGUUCGGAUGGUGGUGGAGAUUGAUGGAAAAGAAGAAGAACAAUAGCAUCAAUGGCUGUGAAGGUGGUUUUUUUUUUCCUAUUUUGAUGGAAUUAAUGGAUGAUGGAGGAAGGAUUUGUGUGUGAAGGGUGGUUGGUGGAUAGGAAAGCUCUAGUCGGCAUAGAGAGGUUGCAAUACUACUUGACACAAUGUGAAAGCGAUACUCAAUGUCACUCUACCAUACGUUCUUGAAACUAAAAAAAUAAUGGUUCUCAAAGAUAGAAAACGUUGGAUUAACGAUAAAUAUAAAUUUAAAGGGAAUGAUUUGAAAUAUUAUUAAUGAAAAGCUUCUAUAUUAAAAUUCUAAUUGAAUUAAAAUUACAAAUACAACUUAAAUAAGCUUACUAAAAUAAGAUAAAUUUUAAUAAAAUACUAAUUACUAAAUUAACUCUAAAUCUAAAAUUCAUAAUUUAUUUUAUCCUAUAUGCUUCCUACAUUAAGUUUUAAAACAAAGAAAAAUAGCUCAAUUGACUUUGAAAAUCCUUAAUUCCUUGGUUCAAAAGUCUAAUUCUUUAUAAUUUAAUUAGUUACCUUUAUUUGUAAAAGUAUCCUAAUAAGUAACAACGUAGUUUUUAUUUGAAGAGAAAAGACAAAAAAGUAAUCAUUAAAAAAGAAAGAAUGCUUUUUUUUUUUUUUAUUAGUGCUUUCGUCUUCCAAAACAAACAACAAAUAUAAAUAAACAAUAUAUUAUGGCUGUCAAUUCGCACCAUCAUAUCUUAUUUAUGUCAUGUUAAAUUUAAAGCAAUGUGGAUAUAACUUAUUUAUUAAUUAUGUUAGAAAAUCAAAAUACAGAUACAACUGUGUAUUAAACGUUUCUAAACAUGCUGGCACAUUUAGCAAAAUAAAUAUUAAAAAAUAAAAAUUAAUUCAAAAUAUGACAAAUAUGUCAAUAUUUUCUUAAAUAAGUUAUAAAUGGAUUGACAAUAUGGCAUGAAUAUGAUAUGAAAAUUUAAUUUAAGGAUUAUUACAUAUUCUUUGUUCAUUUCAAUACCAUUUUUACAUAGUAAUUGAUAUUCAUAUCAUAAACGUUAUUUAGAAGGUCUAACACAGAUAAAAUAGUAUUUUAACAAAUGAAAAGUGAGAGAUUUUAACAAAACUUCAAAACUCAUCUUAGUUUGUAUUGUCUUUGUUGAUGCAUUUGAUAUGUUUAGUCUUUGAUAAAAUUUAUGAUAGUGGAUAUUGUAAUUCUUACCAAGAGAAUUUCAGAAGAAAUAUAUUGACACAAUAUUUGAUAAACUUUGAAUUCUCUGAAUUUUCAGCAAACAACAAGAACUAUAAUGUUAAUAAUCAAAUAAACACGUAUCUGUCAUUAAAAAUACUUUUGUGUUGGAUCCAAUUGUGAAAACACAAAAAAAGAAGAAACUAGAGGUAUGCCUAGGGAUGGCAAUGAGCACCGCCCGCAGCGGGUUUGUCAUUACCAAACCCAAACCUGCACAAAAUUUAAAUUACCAAACCCACCCGUAACUCGCAGUGGGUUUUAAUUUUUUUACAAAAAUCCACCCGCAGCGGGUUUUAACAAUUACCAAACCCGCAAUGGUAUCCGGCGGAUUUUUUGUGGAUUUCUGUAUUUAAAAUCACAAAUAUUUAGUAUAUAAAUUUAUAAUAAUAACUUCAAAUUUUAUAUAACAUACUCAAUUUUAUAUUUAAAUAAUGUAAAUGAAAAAUUAAAAUUUCCACAUCAAUUCAACACAAAUUCUCAAAUUUAAGUAUAAAUUACACAAAUCCAUUUAAAAAACACAAACUAGUAUCUAAAAAUAAUAAUUACAUUUCAUAUUAUCAUUUAAAACAAGCUCCAAGAGAAGAUAUUCAUUUCAUUCACCACCAUAAGCACCCAUCCAACACAAUGCCUAUAAUAAUAAUUAAGAUUAAUAUUUUCAAAUACUAAUUCGAAAGAAAAUGCCUUUAGUUUUCUUUAGAUUAUGACUUUAGAAUAUGAUAUAGGCCACAUACACACAUACACACAUACACAACUUUAAGCCUUCGGCUAUUUGGUAAUUUAAUUAAUAACAUUAUUUUCUUUAUAUAUUUUUAGAUUAAAAUUAAAUUAAAAAUAUUUGAAAAAAAUAUUACGGGUUUGGUGGAUAUCCAUGCGGGUAUCCACCGGAUAUAAGGUUAAUACCAAACCCACCCGCAUCCAUGUGCGGGUUUUAAUUUACUCGCAUUCAUGUGCGGGUUUUAAUUUAUAAUACUAAACUCGCCCGCAACGGGUAAAAUUAUCCGUAACGAACGGAUUUUAGCAGGUGAAUUUGGGCGAAUUUAUGGAUUUGCGGGUACAAUUGCCAUCCCUAGGUAUGCCCAACUGCUGCACAGCGCAUAGAAACCGUAUCUUUCAUUUAACACCUAGUACUUCACUAAAUUAAUAAUGGAACUUUUGCUUGUUGGGUCCUGUACAGGUACCUAACUGUAAAUUUCAUAAAAAUUCAAGAAAAGCGGCUAUAAAUUUCGUUACAAACGACAAAAACGGUAAUAUAAAAAUAUCAAAGGAAUAAAAGGUUCUAUUGUUACGAAUCCUUAUUUAAUUUCCAAAUAUUGAUAAUAUUCAAUACUAAAUGUCGUUUAAUGAAAAUGGCUAUUUAAUUUGUCCAAAUAAUCUUGGGUGGCUUGAUUUAAAUAUAUUUUUCUAUAUAUAAUAUGAACAAUUAUAGAAAGAAAUUAAAGAAACUUUCCACCCAAAUGACAUGCAGUUUCGUUUUGUGGGUCAGGUGGUCAACAGUCAAGAGUUAUAUCAACUAAUUAAUUAAUUAAAAACUCUACAAUUUUUUUUUUAAUUUCAAAGUUAUUAUGGGCGUGAGAAAUGGACAAAAGGCUACGGAUUAUUAUGGCGUUCGCAACUUGCAAUAUUUCUUUUGUGUGGAAACUAUGAAAUUGAAAAUUGAAUCAUAAAAAAUGCUAAAGUUCAAAUUAUGCGCUGAAUGCAUCAUUUUCAGAACAAGAUUUCAAAGACAGUUAUGAUAACGCUGUUUUAACAAAUUCAAGUUUACAGAGUGGUUAAAAGUGUAAUCUCAAGUAUUAGUAGGACAUUGUGUAAAUUUAAAGGCUUUAAAUUAAAGGGUAAAUAUUCUUUUAGUUCCUAUAUUUUGACUUGAGUGUUCGUUUAGUUUUUAUAUUUUAAAAAAAUACAUUAAAUUUUAUUUACUAAAAUACAUUGAAACACCCAAGCUCUUACAUCAUAUCCUUAUGUUUUCUACAAUAUCUUGUAAUAAUAUUAUUGGGGAUAUUAAUAAAAAUAAUAAUUUAUCAAAUUAACUUAAAAGUAUCAUAAUAAUUUACACAAACCUUUACAUUAUUAGUUUACUUUUAGGAUUAAUUUGCUUAAUUAAUUUUUUAUAAAAUAAUUAUACUUAAGAUUGUUGUAAAUAUAUUUAACAUUUCUUUAAGUUAGUUGAUAUUAAUUUAUUUAUAAAUAAUUAUUCCUAAGAUUGUUGCACAAGUACAAAAAAUAAUAGGUCUUUCACAUUAAUAUUUAUUUUUUAAUUUUCUAAUAAAUAAUUAUUAGUUAAUUUGCUAAUUAACCUUUAUAAAUUAAUUAAUUAAUGUCAAGAAUAUUGUUGGAAGGAUAUUAUUGUAAAAUGAAGAAAAAGUAAGGGUAAGAAUGUAAUAUAUUUAACAGUAUAGUGUUUUAUCUAAAAUCAGAACUAAACAUGCACUUAAGUUUAGGGAUGGCAAUUUGGGUCAUUAUUCGUUUAUUCGAUUCAAUUCGAAGCGAAUUAAAUGGGUUUGAGUUUAAAAAAUUGAUUUGUUUAAUAAAUGGGUGAAUUCGAUUCGAUAUUUAGGUUUGAAGACAUUGAUUUGUUUAUUUGUUUAGAAUUCAUUUAAUAAAUGGGUUAUAAACAAACCGAAUACAAUCUAUUCGUUUAAAAUUCAUUUAUUAUUUGUUUAAUUAAAUUACUUAUUAUUCUUAAAUAUUUAUGAAAAAUUUUAAAAUUUGAAGGCUAAUCUAGUAAUUAUAAAUAAUAAUAAGACAAUAUAUAAAUGAGAUGAAAAAUUUUAUGGUUUGGAUUAUUUAGUUUAAUUUUUGUAUACGAAUUCAUAUUCAAUUCGAUUUGUUAUGAAUUCGUUUAUUAUUAGUAUGAACAAAUAAUAAACGAAUUUGGAUUUGAUUCUAUUUUUUUAUUAAUUCUAUUAAAUUAAUUAAACGAAUCGAAUCGAAUAUUCAUUUAAUAAAUGAAUUGAAUUCAAAUCCUGAGAUUUCAAUUCGUUUAAUAAAUGAAUCGAAUCCGAAUCCACAAAAUUUUGACUCAAUUUGUUUAAAAUUCGAUUCGAUUAUUCGUUUCACCACCCCUACUUAAGUCAAAAUGUAAGAAAUAAAUGAAUAUUUACUUUAAAUUAAGUUAUUUGUUUUAUUUAUGUCUUUAUGCUUAUUUGUCUUUGGCCAAGUGUGACAGGCAGGCGGCUAGCUAGAGCGAACAUGCUAAAGCAGCUAAGCUAAGCAUAUCAAAUAGGAGAAAGAGUGAAACGUCUAAUGCAAGUCGUAAAUGUAUGUGUAAGAGUAAAAAUUAAAAUUCAAGGAGAGCAUUUUGCAAUAAAAUUAAAAAAAAAAAUUGGUAGCUUGAAGAUAUUUGACAUGAAAUUUUCGAAAUUUCAAGCGAGGAAGUGUCUAGCCACGUCUUUAUGUGGCUCUGCCCCGGUUUAUAGAAAAAUAAGGUAUGACCUUUAGACAUGCGAUUAAUUAAAAGAUUUCUUAUUUAAUUAUUUUAUAAGUUGUUUUUAAAAAUUAUUGCUGAAGAAAAAUAUGAUAUAAUAAGUAGUUAAACUUUUACCAACAAUUUUCUUUUUUGGCAAAACAUUAUGAAUUUAGUUAAUUACUUUUAACAUUUCAACCACCAUUUGAGGCGCAGAUUAAAAUCAAUUUACAUGUUAUUGUAGUUACUGGUUGAUCUAGAGAAGAAGGAAGAUAUUUUUGAAAAGUGUGUUUUUAUGAUCUAAUAAAUAAUUAAACUCAUUUAAAUGUUUCUAAUUUUAUCUAUUUUCUCGAUAAAGGCGAUUACCUACAUGAAUUAUCAUGAUAUUUUUUAAAAGUGGGGGCUUUACAUAACCUAGUCUUAGUAGAAUGAAAUUCUAUCAAGGAAUAUAUAAUUAAAAAAUAAUUAGUUGAAAAUUUAGAAAUGGCCAAUGGGCUGGAAAGGUCCAUGCAUGUUCAUGUCCGUGCCGUGCUUACUGUGUGUUUCGUGUCGUGCCUAAUUUUUUUUGCUUAGGCCUGGUCCGGCAUGUGCCUGGUCCGGCACAUGUGCUGUGCCGUGCCUAAGAAAAAAAACCCAAUAAUUUUUUUUUUAAAAAUUUUAAGAGCGCAUGCCAAGUUGUUGGUAUACUUUUUUCAAGUUUAUAUACUUUUAUAAGGCUGUCUUUAUUCACAUUUAAUAGAAUCAAAAAUUCAAAACUUAAGUCCAUAUAUAAUAAUAAUAAACUAAUAAUAGUAAGAGAAUGUAAUAUUAAUUACUAAAUUUGACCUUAUAGUAUUAGAAAUUUUUUUAAUGCUUAAACAACAAUAAUAAUAAAAUUUUUUUUAAGGGUUAUCUUAAUUGUUAACUUGAAAUUACAUAAAGUCAUAGAGCAUAGUUCACAAUAAUAGUAAUGCAUAUUUAUAAAAUCAUGAUAUUUAUAAAAUCAUAAUAUUUAUAAUUUUAUUCAUUAAAAUCAUGAUAUCAAUUAUUUAUUUAAUUAAUUAUAAAUAUAAAUCAAUUAUAAAAUUUUAAACUAAGAAUUAAAUGAAUUUAAAAAAAUUCAAUUUCAAGUUAUUUGUAAAAUCAUAAAAUUUUAAGUUUACUUUCAUUAAAAAAUAAAACGUGCUUAUUGCGAAUUUUUUCAUCGUGUCAUAGUUAGCCCAUCUCUAAUCGUGCUGUGCUUUUAAGGCUUACGUGCCUAAAAUUCUAAGCCCAACCUAACCCACAUGCGUGCUGUGCCGUGCUGCGUGCCCCACCAAAACGUACUCGUGUUGUACCGUGCUAUACGGACACAUGCCGUUCGGCUCAUUGGCCAUCUCUAGUUGAAAUCAUUAAAAUUAACUCUUAAUGAUAAAGAAAAAUAAAAAUCCGAGAACAAAAGAUAUUUUAGAGUUUAGAGAAUUAUUACAUUCUACGAUGGAUGUUACCAGGCAUCAAACUUUCACCUUUGUGCGAGGUACUUGAUUCAUGUUAAGAUAUUAUUGUUUAAAAACUAAGCAACUAUUACGUUUUAUAGAUGGCUCCAACUUAGAGCAAUCACACUUGUUAUUUCUUUACAGAUAAUAUGCAUUUCAUAUUUUUAACCCGCAUAUAUUUUAAAAUUUUAACCAUUGAAAUGACAACUACGAUUGAUCCAGUUCUUAUACCAAACUCUACGUUAAUCAGAGAUGCUCUAACUUAACCAGACCUUAAAAGUUAACAUAAAAAUAAUGAAUUAGAAAGAUCUCAUAUGACAAUUAGCACCACAACCAAAAAUCCAAAAUUAUAAACAACUAUUUUAGAUCCACUUGCAAGAUGCCUAACCCAUAUUCUCCACUUUUAAAUGCAACAAAAUUUGGUUUUGAAGCUAAUUACCUAAUUAAUUAUUAUUCAAUCCCUUGUACAUUGCCCAUCAAUUACUAAGCAACAAGCACACUUUAUAUGCUUCACAAUCAAAUGUUAAUUGGUCGGUAGCAUUUGAAUAAGACAGCUUAUCUUACAGAAUUUUUAUUGAUACGAUACAUUAUUGAGAUUAUAGAAUUACAUGUCGGUUUAUAUUUCUAGCAGCCUUUUUUUUUCAGUUCUCCAUGGCUAUGAUUUUUACUAUACAGCAGCUAUAUCUUAAAAGUUGCAGCACUUUACUCUCAAAUGUACCCUAAAUAAAAAUUUGUAAGCUUGAAUGACAAGGAAAGCCUAAACAAUAGGUUAAUGCAAAAAGCAAAUUAAAGAAAUCAAGCAAGGAAAACCAUUUGCAUCCUUGCACAGCAUAUAUAAUAGUUAUUUGAUUCGGAGGAGGAUCUCACCACUUAAAGAGCAUUGUGUGUAGGACAGUCCCAAUUGACGGCAAUCAGUGUGAGAAAUCCACGAUUCCAUAACUUGUAUGGUAUAAAAAUAAGAAAUACCAUAUACGGAUUAGAUAAGUUUCUUUGCACCUUAUGAAGACAUGUUUCAUAACUAAAAAAGUUCUUGAAUUCCCCCUAUUAAUAGGAGAUUAAUUAAUGGAACUACCCACUUGUUUUGAUCAAAGAAGUGGAUUAAGAAAUUAAAUGCUUUUAUUACUUUCAUUUAGAAGUUAAAUAAUUAAAGUCCACCACUAUCCUUAAAAUGUGGGAGUGGGUAAGAAAUAUGAGUUUGCCUUUAUUUUAAAUCUAUUCAAUAAUUCUUUUUAUCUUUUGAGCCAUAAAGUAAAUUUUACAUUUUUUCCACGUGGCUUACAUGUUAAAAUGAAUUAAUUAUAAAUAAACUUGUAACUUGAUAUGGUAACUAAAUUUAAAAUAUCCAAAAUUUUUUGAUAGUAACACUUUAUAAUCUUGAAAGAACAUCUUAAUACACGAAUCAUGGGGUUUGUGUCUCAAAAAAAAAAAGAAGGAAUUUUCUUCCAUUUAAUAUUAGUAUGAAAUUUUCUAAGGGAGUAUAUUAUCACUUUAUGAAUGAACUUACAUAAGUGAUUUAGGACAAGGGCAGAUUUAGGAGUUUUAAUCAGUUUGGGCUAAUUUAUAACUUUAUUAUAAAUAUCUAUAUGAAUAUUAGUGCUUAUAAAAGAGCUAAGAAAUACAUAUAUCAAACAAUGCAACAUUAAAACUCUUAGCAAAAUACAUAUAUUAAAUGAAAGAAUGACAAUAAUGUGAUAAAUAAGCUUAUAAUAUAAAUUAUUAAAAUUAUGCCAUAAAAAUUAUUUAUAAAAUUCUUUUCUAUUUUACUUACAGAGGUUGUGAAAUAUUUGAAUAAUUUGAUGAAAAGAACACAUAUGACUGUGAAGAGAAUAAACCAUGAAAUUACAAAAAUAUUGUUAAUUGUUACCAUGUGUAAUCUUGUAAAUUUAUGAUACUAGUGACGAUGUUAUAUAUUGACAUAUUUUUCUUUCAAUUAGACCCUAGUAGAAUAAUUUUUUACAAUAAUUUAAAACAGUAAUAAUAUUUUAGCCCCUUAUGAUUUCAAUUUAUUCAAUACAUAUAUAAUUUAGUUAUUUCAUAAAAUAAUUCUCUAAAUAUAAUUAAAAAAGAAUACAUAGUUGAAUUGGGAAUGUACUUAAAAAUCAAAUAAAAACUCUAUAAUUACAUAAAAAUUAGAAAGUUAAGGGGUAUUAAUGAGUUUUUUCCUACGCUAGAGCGGGCUGUAAUAAGUUUGCCAUUGAUUCAAGAUCCUACUUAACUAGUCCUACUGCACUAUAUAAAAAUUCAUGCGUGCGCAUAUAACAUAUAUGAAAAUAACAAAACCACUAGAGUGGUCAUUGGAUAUUAGAGCUGAAAACAAAACUAAAUUUAGCCAAUAACACUAGGGAUGGCAAUGGGGCAGAUAUAGGUUGGAUCUACUCUGCUCUAGAUCCAAAUCCAUAAUAAAAAUCAAAAUCCGUAUCUGCUCCAGAUCCAUCAUGAAUCCAUAUUUUUCGCUCCAUAUCCAAAUCUAAAAAAGAAAUAAAUAUCUAUAUCUGCUUCAAAUCCGAAAAAAAGUUAAAAUCCAAAUCUGCUCUAAAUUCGUCAUGAAUUCUAAAAUUCAGUAAUAAAAAAGUAAUAAUUUUUUAGAUUGAAAAUUGAAGGCUAAAAUGUAUUGAUAACAAAUAAAUUAUAUAAUUUUUCUCAAAAAUAUAAUAAAUAUUGUAGUUUAUACUUUUACACCAAAACAACAAAUACGAAAGAUAAUAAAAUAUCAUUAAGAAGUAAUUGCAGAAGUAAGAUCAUUCUAAUAUUCUAUUGUCUCCUUCAUCAUUCUAAUAUUCACGAUACACCUACCCUCAUUCCUACAAUAUUAGAUAAUGACAUAUAAAUUAAAUAUGAUUUAUAUUCAGUCCUUUAUUAUUUUUAUUAUGACCAUAUUUGACUAAAUAUAUGAAUAACUAUAUUCCUUAAAAAUUAUUUGGUAUUAAGAUAGAUCCAUAUCUGCUCCAGAUCCAUCUUAGAUCCGCACAUCGAUAUCCAAAUCCGAUUCAAAUCCAUUUUAAACCGAUCCAAAUCCGAUCCGAUUGGAUUUGGAUCACGUGGAUCUUGGAUCAGAUCCAAUCCAUUGCCAUCCCUAAAUAACACCAUAUAAUCCACGUGACCGUUAUACACUUUAAUAGAGUAAACUUUUAUUCAAUAAAGUUUUUCGCAUGUUGCAUUUACCUUAUUUGCCCUAGUAACAUUGUUAUGUCCAAUAGACGUUAUUUUUGCAUCCCAUCAUGGAUGUCAGCACCAUCAAAUCACUUAAUUGGGCUAUGUUAUGUUAUGACUAGUUGGUGAAAUCCAUUUGUAAAUUUAAGAAUCAACAAGCAGCAUACAUUGGAGGUUGUCUGCACUUCCUACAAGUAACAUGGUUUUUGCAACUAAAGCUAAACAUAUGCUUACCAUGAAUAAUAUCAAUAAUAUUAUUUUCUUAAUUAUAAGUUGCUCAUAUAGAUCUUUUAUCUCCAUAAUGUUGCAUAUGACAACAUUCAGCCUGAUAGAAAUAACCUUCUUAUUGCAUUCUCGAAUGAAUUAAGGAUCAAGAAUUUCAUGAAGUGGCUUAGAUCUAAAGGAGGGAUUGGAAGCAAUAAAGUAAUCUCUUCUUUGUAGGGUACUUAAUAUUUUUAAAAACAGAAUAUUAUUUGCAGCAGAGAUUACAAGCACAAAUUCAUUCUCUAUGUCAAUUCAUUCAUAAUUUUAUUCCAAAUACUCUAAUAGAUUAUCAUAAAUUUAUUGAUACAUUACUCAUGUUUAUUUUUGUAUUCAAACUUUAUAUUACAAUAUCUAAUCUAUAAAGUAUUCAUAUAGUUGACAUAAAAAACUUUUGAGAAAAAAUUGGAAAAACACUUUAGGGGUGAUCGGGUACACUUUCAUAUGGCACAAAUAGUGCUAAGCUUUGUCUUUUAAGUGGAUAGCUAGUCCACUUUCUAUUUUACAUCUUAUUCAUUUAUACAUUUUUGAGUUUCUUAUAAAAAAAUGAAAAAAACACUUUAAGUGAAAAAAUUUUGUAUUCCAAUUUAUCCAAAUUAUCUUCACCAAAGUAGUAUUUUUUUUUUUUACAGCGAAUUGGAAAAAAAGUCUACCAAUAAUUAAAGGAAUAAUUUUCUUUUAAUUAUUAAAAAGAUAAGAUAGUUACUUAUUACCCAUAUAACUGAACAGUUUUAAUUCAUUAAAAUGAAGGGCGGAGAUAUUGACCCUUAAAUCUAAUAGACAAUUUAAAAAAUAAAAAACAACAUUAUCAAUGUUGUAAAAAUGGAUACAUCCUAAAAUUUUCCAUCUUUGGCAUAUUGACAUUUUCCUAGUUCUUUGAUGUCAUUCAUUUUGUGAUUAAACAAAUUAAGAUGUGUUAUGUUGACACUAGUGGAUUCUCUCAGCAAAACAUUGUUGAAUGCCCUAAUUGUGAAGAAAUAAUUAAGAAAUAGUGUUUUGCACUUAGGAUAUUGACCCUUAAGGUUGAUGAGAUAAUUGAAGUCAUUUAUGAUCAAACUACACUUCUAAAUGAAGUGUUACAUUUAAGGAAAACUAGGGGACCAUUCUUCAUCUUCUAUCAACCGUCCCACCACAAGUGACAUUCAAAAUCCAACCCUCGACUUUGUUUCUCUGCAAGAAAAAAAUCAUGGGACUUUGGUUGUGGAAAUCUUAUCAACUGAAGGUUUAAUCUCAUGUCGUCGGGUCAAUCCUUAUGAUGACUCCAUCUUAGACUCAAAGUAAAGGCAAUUACAUGAUUUAUUUUGUAGAUUAGAAUGGGCUUUGAAUGGUGAAAGUAAUGAUAAAUUUCAAUCAAAACCAUUGGAAAUGGACAAGCAAACAUCAAAAGUGAUUCCUAAGGAAUAUAAGGUAGUGAAGUGUAUUUGUUACAAUUGCUUUGUGUAUUAUUGCACUUGGUGACAUUACUUUACUAAUGUAAAAUGUAUUUUGUUCUAUUCAUAGGCUGAGCGUAUUCAACAUUCUUGAGACAAGAAUGUCAUUUGUAAAUCUACCCGACCGCGAUUCUCUCUUGGUCUAUUCACUAUUCCCAUCCCAAUUUCUGAGGAUGCAAAACAUGUUAUUCUUUAUCUUUUUUAUGACAAAUAAAAUGACAUGUAUGAUAUGAUAUAUAUUAAAUGCUUUUACGACUAGUGUAUUUGUAAAGUGUGCAUAUAUAUCAUUAUCUUGCUAUUAUUUGUGAAAUAACACCGAUCUUUCAUGGUAAAAGGGAAAUUGUGGUGGAUAUAUAAGACAACAGUAUAACUCGAAGUAGCAUGUGUACUCUUCUGCAAGAUGAAUGGAUUGAUGGCGAUGUAAUAGUUGAUGCCUAUUAUGUUUAAUAUUUGGACUGUUCAAUACUAAAGAUGGCUAUCAUGUUAUAUUAAUAAGUACGAGCAUAUAUCUUACUAACAUGUGCACUUUGUUUGUAAUUGUUCAUUCUAUUCCAGAUUAUACAACAAUGUACGCAAAUUAUAAGAAUAUGAAAGAGGUUGAAAAAGAUGUCACUUCCUCUUUUUGUUUGUUCCUAGCUGCAUAGUACUCUGUAAGAUAGCAAAAAAAUUAUAUAUUUCUCUCAUUUAAACACUUUUAUUGAAAUAAGGUGGUGUAGUUAGUUGGCUGACCUUUUUUUUUUUUUACUUUAUCUGAUUUCACCUUUCUUCUAAAGCAACCUACGCUAGCUGAUUGGAGUAGCCUUAACUUUGGACAAGUUGCUGGUUUCUGAGAUCGAUACAUGGGUCGUUUGGAUACUUGUCAAAAGGUUAGCACAUAACAUGAUUUUUUUUUGUUUUUUAUUUUAUUGUUAUUGUUAUAUUUCUUUUUCAUUUCAACUGAUUGAUAACAAAACCUUAUGCAUUUAUUAAUGUAAUUGAAUGCUUAAUACUUCCUAUCAUGGUAGAUUUAUGUUCCCAUAAAUUGUGAUGGUUAUUGGUACAUGCUUCUUGUUGACAUUUCCCAUGGAACUACUAGUAUUUGGGAUUCAUUGGAAUCACCGAGUUUAAGGGAGAAAAUGGUUAAUGAGUCUUUGGCAAUUGUAUGUUCUUAAAAUGAUUGACCAUGUUCGUGUAUAUUUCACACUUAAAUGUUUUAAAUUUUGCGAGAUUUAUGGUUUAUUGAUGUUGGCAGCUUGCCUCACUGGAUUUUAUACUACGUCAAGAAGCUAGAGCUCUUUUUUUUUUUAAUCGAUUUGGUUUUUAAAAUUUUCAAAUCUGUCGUCAAACUGGUCUACCACAACAGCCAAAUGGUUUUGAUUGCGGCUACUAUGUCAUGAAGUAUAUGGAUAGUCCUUUUAUUGUUGUUGAUGACUCUUAUAAGGUUGUAUAGUUGUUUCUUCUUGGUCUUAUAGUAUCUUUUCUAUAUUAGAUUAACUACUAAGGAUUUAUAUAAGUAGUAGUAAAGAUGGACUUAUUGAAAAUGUUUUUUUUUUCUUACUAUAUCAGCAUGACUCGAAUCGUGCUUGCCUUCUUCUGGCUCUUUAUUUGGUGCAGUCUUUGCUUAACAGGAUCAUGCAUCAACUUAUUCAAAAGGUGGGUAAGUUAUAGGUUACCUAUGUAGUUUUUGUUUUUUGUUUUGGUUUGCCAAACCAUUUUGUAGACACUGCAGUAAAGUUAGGGUAAAAGGUUGGCAAUUUUUAUGUAAUGCCACCUUUUUUUUGGUAUUUUGUAUAUAAACUAGUUUUGUUCUAGAAAUUAUGUCAGUUCACUAACCUGGUAAGCAGAUGAGGAAUGUGUGGCCCUGUAAGCUGAUGGGUGGCCCUGUAAGUUGAUGGGUGGCCCUCUUAUUUUUUGUGUGAGGGUGCUUAUUUAACAAACAUAUGUGUUCCUUGCAAGAAUAAGGUGUUGUGCAGGCAUACACUAAUAGUGAUGGCCCUAUUAUUUUUGGUGUAUAUGACGGUGUUUAUUUAAUAAGAAAUUGUACAUAUAAUGCUAAAUCCAAUUGAUAUGUAUUUCUUGUGUACAUGUUUUCUUACUUGCUUAAUUUUGGUGUUUUCUUUUUAUUUUUUUUUAAUUUAGUGCAAGACUAAAUGAUGGACAGAGUUUAGACUUAUUGUUUGGUUGUUGAGAAAUUAGAAAGGACAAUGAAAUACUAAAGUGGGCCUCUUUUAACUUAGGACAAAUUUGCUAGGUGGAAGAAAAAAAUAGUAUUGUAGGUUUGUGCAACUUAAGGCCCUUUGGUUUUUGAUAUGAAAACAAUCUUCAAAAAUUUGAAAAAAGGCAGAGACAGGAAUAUAUGCUUGUUAAACAAAUAAAUUUAUUUAUAGAUAGACAGACUUAAAGCACACGUAAAAUAAUAUAAAAAAUGAUAAUCAAUCAUUUUUUGCACAUAAUCGGAUCGCCAUUAAUCACUGUCGAAUCGCCGUUGUUACUUGAGCAAGUGAUUGUUGUGCCAUAAUUUCAUAUUGGAGGAUCACAUUUUUUUCUGAUGUUGGAUUGUCGUUAGUGUUUAGUGACCUAUAAGAAGUUGUCGGCUUACUGUUUUAUGAUAAACAGUCUACUGUUAGCAUUCAGAAACUGAACUCUAGUUCUGUGAGAUUUCGGUUAGCUGUUUACCUAUUAACGGUUUCCCGAUUUCAUCCAGAAUUGAUGAAAUCUUUCCUCAAGGUAAUCGGUUAACCGUUUUCUGAGUUAACAGGAAUCCGUUUGUUUCUAGAAAGUUAUUCAAUGCUCAAUUCAUUAUAAAACCUUAGUAUUUUAAGCCAAUAAAAUAUUUCUUCAAUCUUAAUCAGUUUUAAAACAUGUAUGUUGUCAUCAAAAUCAUCAUUAUAGAAACUUAUAUGUUAACAUUCUCCUCCUUUUUUAUAAUGACAAACUUUACAAGUAAUAUAGAGAAAGGUUACGAUUAAUCAAGAUCAUAACUUCUCAUAAAUAUCUCUCAUUUUAUCAUUAAAAAAAAGAACUAAAUGGAAUAGAGAGAUAAGUGCAAACAAUACCCAUGUCGUUUGACAAAAAUUUCGACAGAACCUCCCCUUAAGAACAAGCAUUCCCUCAAAUACAAAGAUUGUUAAUAACAAUUUUGAAAUAUCACAAACCAUCGCAACUCUAAACCAACUCAAAUAAUCACCAAUCUAACAACCAACACAUAUAUAAUCUUAAAAUAUCAAACCAUUAAAUUUAAAGUACAAUCAUACUGACCAAUCAACAUCUGAAAACAAACAUACAUAUGUUUCGACAUAAAUUGAAGACAUAAAAAGAAGUGCAUAAAUGUUUGUGAGAAAUACAUAAAGACAAAACUAACAACUAUUAAGGUGGUUGGGACGAUGACUCAGAUGGAGGGAAACCAAGUGCAGAGAGAAUGCGCUGCUGACCAUCCAAAAUAUGUCGCUGAAUAUGAAAUGCCUCGAACUAAGACUAAAGCAGUUGCUGCUGCUAAAAAAUAAUCUGAACCUCUCCAAGUAACUGCUAUACCAAGCCUUCAAAAACUGCAGGCACUUCAGGAAUAGGGGGCUCAUCAAGCUUCGUUGGCUCCUCAGUCUAAGACAGAGCUACUCUAGCUCUGGGAGGUGCUCGACAUUUAGCUCCUAAUCUGAAGUCUGGUAACUGAUCCACAUAAUAGAUAUCAUUGAGUAGUCAAUUAUCCUCAGGAGCUACCAAGGUAUCCCCAUUCCUAGAAGAUGGAGUCUUAACCCACUCUCCACGUCUUCUAUAAAAUCUAAUCUUAGAAAUAAUCUUUCUACCUAGCUUUCUGGUCUCGAUGUAAACAGGUUCAGUGAAUGGUACAUUAAAAUGCCUCAGUAUCCUAGUAAUGAUGCUACCAUAAGAAAGAGAUCAGUUGGUCACUGCAGGUGUGGACAACAUAUGACGUAGGAAAGUGUAUCAUAAGCUCACUCGCCUUAUCCGGAUGAUGGAAUCUAGUAAACUGACAUCUAACCUAGUCAGUUCAUCACUAUAACCAUGCCUAGGAGUGACCAUGUGUUGGAGUAUACUAUGAAGAAUACGGGUUUGGAAUGGUAGAAGUUGAGACCUAAAGGAAAAUGUACAGAGAUCGUUGGAAAGGUCACGAUGUCUACAAAUGUUCCUUAUAGCAUUUACAUGACGAAAAUCAUUAAAAUUUAGUUCUUUUCUAGUCGUGUAAAUGUCUGAACCCUCAUAAGAUAUCCUAAGGAUAUGACUCAGUUCAGCAUCAUCAAACUCAAUACGAACCCCACCUACAUGUGUUACUAUCAUAUUUUGCUGGGUAGCGAACAAUUUCAUGUUCAAGUAAAACACUAACUAAAUUAUCAAAAAGUUUCUCAUUUAUACUUAAAGAUGCCUCCCAUUGAACUAGAAUAUCUCUAAUGGUACUCCCACAUAUAGUUAUAUCAGUAAAAUCAUUAAUAUCAGUAUAGCAAGAGUGGGUUACCAAUUUAUCCAUCAAGCUCGUAUGAAAUCUUGUAGCUAGUUGAGGAAAAAGGAAGUGGAUUUUGUCAAAGUCUAGAGUAGUGGGCCUAGAUGUCUUAAGUGGUCUCUGACUGGUUUGUUUGACUCUUUUGCUUCUCUUUGAUGGUUCACUGCUAGCCAUUAUAAAGGAAUUUUGGGAAUUUCUGAAUAUAAUGAGUUUGGAGGAAAUGGAAUUGAUUAAAAUGAAGUUUGGGGAUAUAUGAAGGUGUUUUUGGACUCAAUUCAAUCAAAAAUGGAUGAAAAUCUGGCCAAAAUGGAUGAAGAAUGUGUUGCUAAACUUGCAUUUUCAAUUUGGGAUUUUCGGUUUUUGGGCUUCAAAAUGAGUUUUUAUUGUGAAAUAAUGAAGUUUAAGGUGUUUCGAAGAAAUGUCAAUGCUCAAUUUUGUAAGAAAAAUGAAGAAACAUGGUCAAUUGUUGAGAGAGAAAUCACUGCCACUGGCUGGAGAAAGGAAACGAUUUAGGGCCAAGUGAAAAUAAAGAAGAAACGCUCGGACUGUUCUGUUAUCGCGCGAUAAUGGCGAGUCAUUUUCGUGUUAUCGGCAAACCAUUAGUGUCCAGAGCCAUAUAAAAAUUUUAACAUGAUAUUGGUUUACUGUUUUAAGUUUAAUGGUUAACCGAUAGUGGGCAGAAUCCAUAUUAAAAGUGUCCUCAAGAACAGCGAGCUCUUUUCAUGUUAUCGGUGAACCAUUAGCUUCCAGAGACAUAUACAAGUUUUAACAUGAUAUCGGUUUACCAUUUUCAAUUUAACAGUUAACCGAUAGUGGGCAAAUUUUGUAUUGAAUGUGUCUACACAAACGAUUGGUCGUUAUUAGGUUAUCGAUGAGUCGUUAUCGUCCAGAAUGUGUUCCCUUGGUUUCGGUCUAAAAAUGGUUAUCCGUUUAUUAUGUAAAUGGUUGUCCGUUUUCCUUAACAAUGAUUUGGCACAUCUAUUUUAAUGUAUGACCAACAAUUAAUCCCUUCCAAGACCAUUUCAUUAAUUCAAAAUGUCUUAAAGACCAGUUUAAUGUAUGAUUCAUGAAUUGACACAAUUCAAACAUAACAACCAAUUGAAACAAAUAAUCACAUCAUGAACAACAAGAUAGUCUUGAUAUCAUAUAAAGCUAAACUAAUGUGCAAUAUUCAUCAUUCCAAGCUCAUGCCUAAUUAUAGUAAAAUGUUCUUUGAUAAGUGCAUAUUUUCUGUAUAUUUUACUAAUUAAUUUCUCCAUCUUUUCCUUGUUAUUGGCCUUAAAUAUUCUAAUUACAUUAGUUAAUUUUUUAAAUCACAAUUUAUUAUGUUAAUUUUUAUAUUUUGUUAUUUAGGUAUAUUAUGGGAUUAAAGAGGAAUUAAAUCAGGACAUUCAGGAAGGAAAUCUGAUUGAAAGAAUCAGAAUAGGAAAAAAAAUUGAAGAUUGGGAAACAAAAGUUCAUAAGAGAUCAAGAAUUGGAAAGAAUUAAAGAAAUAAAGAAUAUUUUCCAAUUAGAGCUUGUAUGGGCCAAGCAAAAUUAAACUUGCACAUGGUGCUAAAAAUGGACAAAGGAAGCCAAAAAGGAAGCCAAGCCAAUUAACAAGUUAAGCCAUCACAUGAAAGCAAAAUUGGAAAAAAGAGAUUGCCAUAUUUAAUCAAGCAUGCACGUGAGGAACAAUGGCAAUUAAGUGACUUUGAUUUGAAAACCAAAAGUGGCCAGCAUUUGAGAGGAAGGAAAAUAAAGCCUUUUGGCUUUAGGAAAUCAUGGCCAAUCACAAAAGCUUGUGCAUGAGGUUGAAAAGGAAAACAAAAUUUCAAACCUUAAUUACUAAGGUUGGUGGCUUAAGCACUAUAAAAGCCAACUUCUGGCUUUUGGUUUGGGGACAAUCGACAGCCAAGAGGAAUUGAAGAGAGAGUAGCGACGAGAAGAGAAGAAAAAAAUAGAGGAGGCAACCGCUUGAAUUAAUUUCUAUGUCUGUUUUUAUUAACUCUUUUAUUUCCAAUUCAAUUAUGUUAAGCUAUAUUUUUUAUUUGGUUUAGAAUGAAUUCAAAACCCCAAACAUAUCAUAUGAUUAAUGUUCAAUUUCUAUCAUUCAGUUUAUUUAAUUGAGAUUGUUUAAGUUCUUCUAUAAUUAAUGUUUAUGAUUUUAUUCUUGUCGUAAUUAAGUGGCAAAUUAGAUAGAACUUGAAUAAAUUCUAUUGCUAGAUUAAAAUUCUUGAUCCGUAAUUGUCUUGAUAUUUUAAUCAUUAGUAGCAGGUUGAAAUCAAUAAUUUCAAUUCGAGAACAUAACCUAAGUUAAAUAAUUCGAGAUUGUGUGUUUUUUACCUAGAUCAGCCUAAUAUCUUUCUCUUCUUAAUGGUUAGAGAUUAGGAGAAGAGCUUGUUUUGUCUAAUGACACACUAAGGAAAGAUUGAGACUAAUAGAGCUUAUUGUUGUCUACGGUUGAUAAUUUCAAUAGAAAUUGAUGAUAGAAUGGAUAUAUUAUAUGCAUGUCUGGUGGUGGCGAAUGAUCCUUUAACCAAAGUUUUCAUUAUUAUUAUUUAUUUCUCCUUUAAUUAGAGUUUUUAUUAAAUUAUUAUUUUUAUAGUUUUAAUUUCUUAAUUUCUUGCUAUUUAUUUAAAAAUUCAUAAACCUCCCUUUUUUAUUUAUAAUUAGCAUUUUCUUUCGUUAGAUUAAUUUAUAUUAUUAUUACUACUAUUAUUUUAUUUUAAAUCCUGCUUUAGAGUCGAUAAUAAAUAUAACUAGCACAGUCUUCGUGAGAUCGAUCCUUACUCGCUUUGUACUAGUUAUUUAUACUAGUAGUAACGUUUUAAAUUUGGUGCACCCUAACGACACUACCAUUCUUUGCUAAGGGAUUUUGUUAAGAUAUCUGCAAGUUGUUUUUUAGGUGAAACAAAUUCUAAUGUAAUAUUCCUUUUUCGAACAUUAUCUCUCAAGAAAUGAUGUCUUAUCUCAAUGUGCUUGGUUUUAGAGUGUUGAAUGAGAUUAUUUUACAGGUUUAUGACACUAGUAUUGUCACACAUGCUAGAUAUAUGAUUGAGAUUAAUACCGUAGUCUCUAAGGAUUUAUUUCUAAAUUCCUACAAUAUCAUUUGCAUACCCUACAAAAGUUUACUUUGCACACUCUUUCUAAUGUGAAAUUUGAUUUCUAUUAAAUAUUGGAUGUGUUUACUAAUAAGUAAUUGAAAUCGACUAGAAUUAGAAUAAAAUGGAAUUAGAGUGGGCUGCAAUAGGAACAAGGAAUGACAAAUAAAAUAAGAUGUUUAUUGAGAUGAAGGAAACACAGUUGGAAUGUUCUAUAUUACUAUUAAUAUGUUUACUUUGUCUUAUAAUCUGAAUGGGCUAUUCGAAAUUACUAAAUUACCCUUAAUUAAUUAUUAUUUGUUAUAAUAAUUGUGAUUACUAUUAUUGACAAAGUUAAUAUUAAAAUUGAUAUUGUUAGAGGUGAAAAACAAUAUAUAAAGAAUGACAAAAUGAAAUUAAAAAAAUUGAGCAGGGGUAGAAUAGUCACUUAAGAUAGCAAGCGUCUCCCAUUCUCCCAUCCAUGAGAAUGAAAGCACUAGUAAUCAUUCUCAAUUUUGAAUGGAAUCCACUGCUUUUAUUGUAAUCCUGCCUCUUAAGCAAGUAAACACAUUAUUUCUUUGUGUUCAUUGAUUUUCAUUUCAAUUGUUGUUUAGUUAACAUAUCAUUUAUCAAUUAAGUAUUUUAUACCUUUUAAUUGGAAUAAUAAUAUUUCCUUCACUUAAAUAAAAUUUUCUUUGCUGAGAAACAAUAUUUGAUUUAUUGUUGUUAUAAUUUUUUAACUAAAAUUUAGAGGUUGAAUAUAUUUUGUUAAGUAAUAUUAAAAAAACUUAAAUGGUGCAAUCAAUUUGAAUUUCCACGCGUGGAAAUAAAAUUGAUACCGCCCGCCUAUGUUUUGGUCUUAUUCUACAAUUACCCAUAUUCAGGCUUGCACCAUGCCAGAAAUAGAAUAAAUUGUUGGAUUCAACUUGACUGAAAGCAACAAUUGUUAUUUAUAAUUAUUGUUAUUAUUCUUAUUUUAUAAUAAAUGGUUAAAAUAAUAAUAAUGAUAAGCUCACUUCUUUCUCUCUCGAAGUUCAAAAUUUUGCCUAAGUUCAAAAUCAAUAUUGUCUCACACUUUUCUCCCAAAAUUUUGUACUUUUUCAUUCUCAAAUCUGGUUUGUGUCUCAAAGCAAGCACCCUCUUGUUGUACAUAGAUUAUCUUCAAUAAUCUAAUGGAUUACUUUCAACAUUCAAGAAGUUCUUAAUAUCUUGGCUUACUAAUAUUUUAGGUUCUGGUUUUUGUCAGUGUUUACUUAUUCAGUCAAUUAAAAGGGGCACAAAUUGAUUUGGUAAGGAUUAACACACUUUUUGCUUUGAUUUCAUUAUACCAAUAGUCACAACACACAUAUGGUGUCUGUAUUUGGUUUGUUGCUGAGUUUUGUUUGAUUGAAAUACUAACACUACAAGUAAAGGAGUUUGAUGAUUAGAGUAAAUGUUAUUCCUAUAGUUGGUGGUUAUGCUUGCUUCUUGUGUGACAAAUUCAACAUAAACUCAUUUCUUUGUUCAAGAUAUGUUUGUUUUAAUAUUCCUAGUGACCUAAAUUAUUUUGACUUGUUUAACAGGUCAAUUGCUCUUAAACAUUUUAUUUUCCUAGACUGUUUAUGGCAAAAGCAUACUGCAAGCAGAAGAGACGGUCAAAUGACGUCAUCAGUCACCAAGAGGGGAAUAUUGAUACUAUCAUUGAGGAUUGCAGUCGUUCAUCAUAUGGUUUUGUGUCCUACUAGUAAGUUGAAGUUAUUAUUUUGUUAAUCUAUCUUUCUUUAUUCAUAUUAUUAUAUUCAACAUAGCAAAAGAUAUCAAUUUUUUUUGUUAAAAAAAGAUAGAAAAUCUACUUAAUACAGUAUGUGUGGUGAGCCGCACAGUGUCUUCGUUAAAAUUUCACGUUAUAAUUUGAAUGAUUUUUUUCUUAUUGGGAACUCAAGUCAUUGGCGCUCUUAAAAGGCCUCCACACCUAGAGAUAGAUGUUGUAUUGCCUUCAUAUCUAACUAGUUAAUGGUUCAUCGUCUCUCUUACAACGAUGAGCUAGUAAAGCGUAUGAAGACUUCUGAUGAAAGAUUUGUUGUUACCAAAGAGGUAUUAUAUAGCCAUGUUUUCCAUGUUACAUGGUUCAUUCUAUAAUAUGUAACAAACUGUAAAUUGACACCUGAUUAACACCAAUAUGUGAGGUACCUUUAUUUUCUGACAGCUAAGAAAACGGUUGGGUGAAACAUACAAAAGCCUACCCUCGAAUAAAAAGGCCAAGUUCGUGAAACCCUUAAUAAAUAUUGCUGAUUAUGAUCUUUAAACCGAUUAUGGCAAAAAAUUGCAACAAAAGAUAGCUAAAAAUGGAAUAAAAUGUAGGUGUGCUCUAGAUCGGUUACAUGAGCUGGUUAAAACUUUCAGUCUUGAAAAAUAAUGAGCUGUACGGGAAAUUAGAUUUGAGAGCCUCUUACAGUUGCGAACUGGUAGGCUGUAGAGAAAGUUGUGUGCGUGGUUGAUUGAACAGUUCUUACCAAAUGACGGUGUAAUUAUUUUGAACAAACAGCACAUUCCAAUAACUGCAACAAUGUUUUCUAAUAUAAUGGGAAAACAUGAUGAAUGCUUAUCUAUGUCUUUGUCUAGUGAGGCUAAUAAAAUUGCAACAUUCAGAGACACUUUUAAGUGCACUGGUCAAGGAAUGAGCAUACAAAACUUAGAAGAUUUCCUAAAGUAAUCAGAUAGUAUUGGCGAUGAGUUCAAGGUACUAAUUAUAUUGGUAUAAUAUAGUUAGCAAACACGUGAAAGCUUUAAUUUUUUUAGCUUAUCUGAUAUACUAAAAUAAAUUUUAGGCUGCAUAUGUUCUGUUUGCAUUGGCCAUUGUAUUAUGUCCAUCAAGUGCACCAAUUAUAUCAGCUUCUUUCUUGCACACACUAAGCGAUACAUGUGCCAUAAGAGAACAUAAUUGAGCUUUUUUUUUGUUAUGAUCGACUUGUAAUGAUUAUCUCCAAGUUCAAGUCAAAUGCUUUAGCUCAAGUUAGAGGUUGUCUGUUAUUUCUUCAGGUUGGUAACAUAUGUACUUUGAUUAUGGGUUUAGGUAUCCACGUUUAUAAUGGAAUAAAAUAAUUGUCUCUAUUAAUGAUCAAGCAAGUGAUACACUAACACGUGAUAAAUGGUAAAAUCAUUAUUUAUUUUACAUGCAAAAUGUUGAAUACAGCGAAAAUAUCCAUUAUGGCUCUUUACUGCCUCUAAUUAUAGCUUAGAAUGAAGAAAAGAUUAAAAAGUUCAUGCAGUAAUAGAAAAGACCAGGCAGUGUGAAUUCCAAGAAAUAAGUGUGUUGACUAGUUUUAUGUCAAUGCUACUGUAUUGACUAGAUUGAAGGUGGUAAAGUUAAUUUAUAUGAAGGUAAUGAAGAUAAAAUUGUGAACUGCAAUUUAUAUUCGGAAGAAACAUUUUAAUUUUCUUUGAAAAAUCAACAUUUGCACAUCCUACGUUAUAUAUUUGAUAUGUUUUAUCGUUCCAUUUGAAAAGAGUACUAUUUUUUACUAAUAGCAUUGAUAUUGAAUUAUUAGAAGAUUCUGUAGCGGUAUUACAAGGAUUAUCUGUUAAAGUUCAGUCAAUUUAGAAGCACUAAAUGACCUAAUGCUUAUAAGUGUGAAUGCAUAAUAGUAAAAAUGUUGGAUCUUCUUCCCAACCACCAAUAGACAUAGCACAGUUGCUGCAGCGAAUUUUAAAGCAAUCUAAUGCAAUCCACAGUUUAACAACGAGCAUUAACAGACAAAGUAAUGCUAUUGUAGAUUUUGUAACUAUAGUGAAGCAAUCUGUUGCUUAAGGUCAGAAACCUGCCCCUGAAUCUACACUAGUCCAUGCAAAAGAAGAUCUUUCACCAUCGCCUAAAUUAAGCCCCCUUUGAGAACCUUGAUAAGAACAAAAAUCCUAUGGUUGCACCACAUGACUUGUCCAACAAUCCUAGUAACAUAACAGUUGAGAAAAUAAAUCUCAUUAUAAUGGAAAUUUUUUUUUAAUGAUGAUGUGGGUCCAUUAUUUGAUGGUAAAGCCACUUAGACCAAUUUUGAAAGAAAUGCAGAAACAUUGAAUAAAAAUACAUCUAUUGAUGUACCUUAUGAUGUGGAUAAAAUAGCUAAAUGAUUGGUAAUAACCCUUUGACUUCUUUGGUUUUGUAAUAUUAGGUGCGAUAUCAUCUUGACUGAUCCUGUAAUGUUUUCCUUUUAUAGAAGGAUAACGUAACGGGAAAUCUAAAUGAGCCAAAGUUGUCUAAAACAAUUCGUAGUCCUUAUGAGUUUCGAUCGAUAAAAGAACCUAGUUGGUUCUAGCACUCGCCAUUUGAAAAUGUUAACGACAAGCCUGUUACGCCACGAUAUUUGGUAGGUCCUUAUAUGGUGACCUCGCAUGUCACUAAUCAUGAACUGCAACUACUUAGUUAUAUAUUUGAUGAUAGCCUAUAUGAAAAGUAAGAGUUAUAUAUUUGAUGAUAGCUUAUAUGAAAAGUAAGAGUUAAAUCAUGUAUAAAUUUAAUAUUAAUGUAUAUUUUCAUGGAAUUCAUUUUUACUCUUUAUCGUAUAGGAAAAUACUUUGAUUGCAUAAUAUUCUUUCAUGUUACUUUUUUAAACAUGUACUUAUUGUAUAUUUCGUUUACUUGUUAACAACAAGAUCCUCGUGUGUACAACAUACAACUAUAUGUCUUAGAGUAGCAUGUGCUUGUUGAAGAGAUAAAGAAAUUCAAUGCAUUUAUUAGUUUUUUCAACUUAAAAGAUAGAGGGAAUAUGAAAAUGACUGGCACACUUAUCUACCUUACUAUUUUUUUUGGGAUGUUCUUUAAUUAAAUAUGGUGGUUUGUUUGCUAACUAUAAGUGACACCAGGAUAUCAAUAUGUAUGCUGAGUACAAGACAAUUGAAGAGCUACAUAAUAAGUCAACUAGACCACAAACAUGGUUCUUAUCAGUAUCUUUCUCGGUAAAUUAUUUAUUGUUAGCAUGGAUAGUGUUUAGUAACAGAUUGACUUGUAUGUUUAACUCUUUUAUGGCAUCUUUUGCAGAAUUGUGUAUUAAACUCUGCUUGUACAAACCUAACUUCUUUUUGUAGCGGCAAUGCAUGGGCUAAUCGAUUCAUGCCAAACAUAGAGACAUGUAAGAAGGUUAGCAUAUGGCAUUCAUAGUACCUAUGAUUGGUGAAACUUGAGCACAUGUUCCAACAUAUUUAACAUGUGCAUGUUAUCAUAAUUGAAAUUGUAAUUUUAAAAAAAAUACUUUAUAGGAAAUUUGCAGAUCUUGAUACCAAGGCAGAAUGGUUCAAAUCAUUAAUUUAUGCUUGUGGUUAACAUCCAUGCUAACUCUGUUAAAAUAUGGGAUUCACUACAACCUGGCAGGCAUAAAAUGAAGAUUAUAGAAAGUUGUGUCUAUGGUAAGUGCUGUGAAUUUGAAUUCAUUUCUUUAAUAGACGUACAUGUGUAAGGCGUAGUAUGGGAUAAACAUUUAUCAAUAUUCUGUUAUAGCUUAUGUCAUUGGACCAUGUACUAGGUGAGGAAAAGCAAUGGGUGUGUGGUGUAAAUUUCAAGUUUAUACAUUUUAAGGUAUGUCAAAUGAGUCGGUUGCUACAACAACCUUACAACAAUUAUUGCGGCAUGUAUGUCAUGAUGUAUAUGGAUGAGUCUCCCAUUGUUGCAACCCAAAGUUACAAGGUAAUUUGUUAUAGACAACUGUGUUGAUGAAA
rnacentral:lncRNA from 1 species